AGAGCGCAAGGGGAAUGCCUUGGCAUCAGGAGCCGAUGAAGGACGCGACAAGCUGCGAUAAGCUUCGGGGAGCUGCAAAUAAGCAUUGAUCCGGAGAUUUCCGAAUGGGGAAACCCGGCACGGCAAUACCGUGUCAGCGUGCACUGAAUCAAAUAGGUGUACGUGGGGAACCGCCUGAACUGAAACAUCUAAGUAGGGCGAGGAAAAGACAUCAACCGAGAUUCCGCAAGUAGUGGCGAGCGAACGCGGAGGAGGCCAAACCAGAGGUCAUUGAUCUCUGGGGUACGGACUUGCAUCAUGAUCAGAGGUAUCUAGUCGAAUGGCGUGGGAAAGCCAACCACAGAGGGUGAGAGUCCCGUAGACGAAAGAGAAGACUGACAGCGAGUAUCCAGAGUACCGCCGGACACGUGAAACCCGGUGGGAACAUGGGAGGACCACCUUCCAAGCCUAAAUACUACCUGAUGACCGAUAGUGGAGCAGUACCGUGAGGGAAAGGUGAAAAGAACCCCGGGAGGGGAGUGAAAUAGUACCUGAAACCUUGUGCUUACAAGCAGUCAGAGCACGUUAAAGUGUGAUGGCGUACCUUUUGUAGAAUGGUCCGGCGAGUUAUAGUCACUGGCGAGGUUAAGCAAUUCAGUUGUGGAGCCGAAGGGAAACCGAGUCUUAAUAGGGCGUCGAGUCAGUGGCCAUAGACCUGAAACCGGGUGACCUAUCCAUGAGCAGGUUGAAGUUGGUGUAAAAACCAAUGGAGGACCGAACCCACGUUCGUUGCAAUGACCGGGGAUGACUUGUGGAUAGCGGAGAAAUUCCAAUCGAACUCGGAGAUAGCUGGUUCUCCCCGAAAUAGCUUUAGGGCUAGCGUCGAGAGAGAGUCAUGUGAAGGUAGAGCACUGAAUAUGUGAUGGCCCCAUCCCGGGGUACUGAAUAUAAUCAAACUCCGAAUGUCACAGAGACAUGCUCGGCAGUCAGACAGCGGGUGAUAAGGUCCACUGUCAAGAGGGAAACAGCCCAGACCAUCAGCUAAGGUCCCAAAAUAUAUACUAAGUGGAAAAGGAUGUGGAGAUGUCCAGACAACUAGGAGGUUGGCUCAGAAGCAGCCAUCCUUUAAAGAGUGCGUAACAGCUCACUAGUCGAAUGACUCUGCGCCGAUAAUUUACCGGGGCUAAGUAUAUUACCGAAGCUAUGGAUUUGCGAUGAGCAAGUGGUAGGGGAGCGUUCUAUGAGCGAAGAAGCAGUACCGGAAGGAGCUGUGGAGCAUAUAGAAGAGAGAAUGCCGGUGUGAGUAGCGGAACGUGGGUGAGAAUCCCACGCACCGAAAACCCAAGGUUUCCAGAGGAAGGUUCGUCCGCUCUGGGUAAGUCGGGACCUAAGGCGAGGCCGAGAGGCGUAGUCGAUGGACAACAGGUAGAGAUUCCUGUACUUACGGUAUGAAUGAAGGAGUGACGGAGAAGGCUAGGUGAUCCUGCGGCUGGAAGAGCAGGUGCAAGCGAGGUAGCAGAUAUCCAGGCAAAUCCGGAUAUCGGGAAAGCGAAGGCGUGAAGCGGAUGGAAAGCCAAGGCAAGUACAGAAGUCAUUGAAGCCAGCUUCCAAGAAAAGCUUCUAGUGAUAAUCAUACAGUAACCCGUACCGAAAAUGGACACACAUGGGUGAGGAGAGAAUCCUAAGGUGAGCGAGAGAACUAUAGCUAAGGAACUCUGCAAAAUGACUCCGUAACUUAGGGAGAAGGAGUGCUCAUAGAGAUAUGAGCCGCAGUGAAACGGCCCAAGCGACUGUUUACCAAAAACACAGCUCUAUGCUAAGUCGAAAGACGACGUAUAUGGGGUGACGCCUGCCCGGUGCUGGAAGGUUAAGAGGAUGUGUCAGCGCAAGCGAAGCACUGAAUUGAAGCCCCAGUAAACGGCGGCCGUAACUAUAACGGUCCUAAGGUAGCGAAAUUCCUUGUCAGGUAAGUUCUGACCCGCACGAAAGGCGUAAUGAUUUGUGCACUGUCUCGACAACACGCCCGGUCGGCGGAUUUGUCUUUGGGGUACAGUUUGUAGGCGGUAUCCUGAUCGGUGCCACAAUCGUGGCGAUUCCGCGUGCACUGUUUAUGGGUAACUCCGGUGGAGCUUUCGAUAAUGCGAAAAAAUACAUUGAAAGUGAAGCUCUUGAAGGGCACGGGAAAGGAUCGGCUGCUCACAAAGCAGCAGUUACCGGUGACACUGUUGGUGAUACAAGAAAAGACGUUGUCGGUGUGGCAUUGGAUAUUUUUAUCAAGAGUAUGUCUACAGUUGCCAAUACACUGGCAUCUCUGUUUUCAACAAUUACAUUAAUUCAUUAACAAGUGAAAAAAGAAAAACUUCUGUUGGCGAAUGCACUGACAGAAGUUUUUCUUUUUUUCGUACUUAGUAUCUGAAAGCAGCUUUCGGAGGCAGGCUCUGCAGACACCUGAAACAAUAAUACGUACAAAUGUUCGAAAAAGAUUUACACCGAACAUAUAUUCGUGUAUAAUGAAAGAAAUGAUGGAGGUGAAAGAAAUGGAAUUGAGACAAGGGCUGUCGAUACAGGAAAAACUGCGGAUUCUGGCAGAUGCGGCAAAGUAUGAUGUUGCGUGUACGUCAAGUGGUGUGGACAGAAAGGGUAUGAAAGGAUCUCUGGGCAAUUCAAA
rnacentral:rRNA from 1 species